UUUGUCUGAUGUCUUGGUUAAUAAUGAGCCACCAGAUUUUUGUAAUAAAUAAUUUGACGUGUUAUCCAGCUCCACCGACUGAUUGGUUUGAGUCGUCGUCCGACUGUGAUUGACUAUUUUGGAGCUGGCUGAUUCUUUUGACAUGUACUUUCGGUCGAUGAAAGAGUGAUUUUUUUCUUCGUCUCUGUGGAACAUAUAAUUAUCGAACCAUUUCGCCAAAAUUCCGAAUAGUUAAUUUUAUUUUCUUAGGUAUUGUUCGAUUUAUUAAUUUAUAUUUUGGGGAUAGUUACCUACCAAAAACGUUGAGGCGUAUUAAUACUUUAUUCAGAAAAACUACGUAGGUUGUGAAAUAUCCUCUACGUAAUUGUGGAAUUAUUUCACUAAUAAGUAAUCUGAGGGCAAAUUAUGGAGAGGCUUUCCCCUCCAUAAAAAAUUUGCUCCUCUGCAGAAAAUAUCCUUUGACUUUUUCGGAAUAAUUAGGAUUCACAAAAAUUUUUCGUUUCAUCAAUUCUUUCGAAAUAAGUUAUUUGAGGAUGGUGAAUGAACACCAAAAUGAGAAGAAUCUUCUGCUGUGAAAAAUGUUUUUAUAGCUUUUUCCUUUAUUUCUUUCUUUAUUUGAGAAAAUUCGAGGACAUUCGAUAGUUAUUGUUUGACAAUUCGAAAGAGACUAUUCCAAUAUCUCGUUGAUGAGAGCUCUGCGGAAACUUAUCAAGAGACAUUGUUAACAGGUGUGGCGGAGUGUUGGUGUGGACGGCCCACUGCUGCCCUAAGUGAAAUGCAAACUGAUACAAUCUGUUCACAAACGCCUGGCAACACGUAUCACAAACAAUAGAAUUAGUGAACAGAAGCAUUUUUAUUUUUUCUCAGUCCAGUGAUCUGCCGCUUCAGUUGAACCCUGUGUUUGCACAAUUACUUGCUCGAAGUGUGUGCACUCUUCAUGUCUUGUUAUCCCAUUUUCUCGGUAACGAUAGAGUUCAGAGAGACGUAAUCUUAGUUCACGUUCUCUCUCUAAGUUUGCCAGAAAUUGCUCGUACUCUUGGGCUGUGUAAAACUGGGCAAAGACACGCAGGCGUUCUCUAAAAUCUCUGAAAAAGGUGAUGAACAUUGUAUUAUGAGAAUAAUCGUUUGGUUGAAUUAACCGGCUUAUAUAAGAAGAGGAGUUGGGUUGAGAGCUCAGGAAUUAAUUAUUUUCUAAUAAAAUUAAUUCCUGAACUCGAGUGAAUGAGAUAUCUUUUUUGUAAGGAAAUUCAAGAAUUUUUAUAAUCUACCUCGUUCUUGAGAUAACUGUUAAAAUAUUCAUGUGUUAUUAUUUUGUAUUUUCAAAGAAAGAAACAUCACAUUCUCGUAAAUUGUUUUCAUUAAUACGUUCUAUUAGUGAUCUUGAGCUCAACUGCCAAGGUUCUUUCCUCCUAGCUCAGACAAUAAUAUAUUACAAAGUAUUUUCAUUAAUCAGUAUUUCUGAUAAUAAUUCCAUAUCGUUUAUUGAGAGGAGAUUUUUUAAUGUAAUAUAGAGUAUUAAUAAAUUAUAGACAUACUUUUCUUCUCUA